UGCGUAGGCGGAUUGAUAAGUCAGUGGUGAAAACCUUCAGCUUAACUGGAGACUUGCCAUUGAUACUGUUAGUCUUGAGUACGGUCAAGGUAGGCGGAAUGUGUAAUGUAGCGGUGAAAUGCUUAGAUAUUACACAGAACACCGAUUGCGAAGGCAGCUUACUGGGCCAUUACUGACACUGAGGCACGAAAGCGUGGGGAGCGAACAGGAUUAGAUACCCUGGUAGUCC
rnacentral:rRNA from 1 species